UACGAAGGGGGCUAGCGUUGUUCGGAAUCACUGGGCGUAAAGCGCACGUAGGCGGACAUUUAAGUCAGGGGUGAAAUCCCGAGGCUCAACCUCGGAACUGCCUUUGAUAGUGGGUGUCUUGAGUAUGGUAGAGGUUGGUGGAACUGCGAGUGUAGAGGUGAAAUUCGUAGAUAUUCGCAAGAACACCAGUGGCGAAGGCGGCCAACUGGACCAUUACUGGCGCUGAGGUGCGAAAGCGUGGGGAGCAAACAGG
rnacentral:rRNA from 1 species